AAAGCAUAAGCUUAAAUCGUCUCAGAAGGACAAGGUCCGCCAGUUUAUGGCCUUUACCCAGGCUGGUGAAAGGACUGCUAUAUACUGCUUAACGCAGAAUGAAUGGAAACUAGAAGUCGCAACAGACAACUACUUCCAGAAUCCAGACUUAUACUACAAAGAAUCCAUGAAAAAUUCAGUAGACAGGAAGAAAUUAGAACAACUGUAUAAUCGAUACAAAGACCCACAAGAUGAAAAUAAAAUUGGCGUUGAUGGGAUUCAGCAGUUUUGUGAUGAUUUAAGCCUGGACCCAGCCAGUAUCAGUGUCCUGGUUGUAGCAUGGAAAUUCAGGGCAGCUACUCAAUGUGAAUUCAGUAAAAAGGAAUUUGUUGAUGGUAUGACAGAGUUGGGGUGUGACACCACAGAAAAACUAAAAGCUCUAUUGCCAAGACUUGAACAAGAGCUAAAGGAUCCAACAAAGUUCAAAGAUUUUUAUCAGUUUACUUUUAACUUUGCUAAAAACCCUGGACAAAAAGGUCUAGUUGCCUGGGAUCAAGCAAGAGAUGAAAGAUGAGGAGGGCAUUCAGACUGAAUCAAAUAUUACCUCAAGGCCAGAAGAAUGACUCUCUUUGCAUCCGAUUUAGAAAUGGCAAUUGCAUAUUGGAAUUUAGUCUUGUCAGGAAGGUUUAAAUUUCUAGAUCUUUGGAAUAAAUUUUUGUUGGAACAUCAUAAAAGAUCAAUUCCGAAAGAUACUUGGAAUCUUUUGUUAGACUUCGGUAAUAUGAUUGCAGAUGAUAUGUCCAACUAUGAUGAAGAAGGGGCGUGGCCUGUUCUAAUAGAUGAUUUUGUGGAAUAUGCACGACCAAUAGUCACAGGAGGAAAACAUAAAACUUCCUAACCCCAGACAUGUCAAUAUGGACUAAACAGGCUCUCUGAACUGCACUGGGUGAUGAAGAUUUGUUAACUGAAAACUGUGCACAUUUUUGCUGGUUUCAGUGGUCGUGAUGACAUUUUGCAGACAAAACUGAAAUUCUUCCUUUCUACCUAAAGAAUAUGAUGGCUGACUUGUGGACACUUCAAGAACAAACUCAGAAGAUAGUUCAGGCUGUUUGUAGGCUAUUGGCUUCAAUUAUUGUACUGGUUAUAUCAUAUAGGAUGUAGAUUUUGCAUGAUUUUAUACUUUGGAGAAGUUUAACUAGAGGCCAUUUUAUUAAAGUUUUGACAGCACAGCAUGCCAUUCAGUUCAUGAUCCAAAGUGAACACCAGCAGUUACAUAAACAAAACUGUAUUAUAUUGUACUUAUAUUAAAAGCAGUAUUUGUGGUAUAUAAAUUAAAUCCCUAAAUAAAACUUAUGCAGUAUGUUGUAUUUUUAUAAAAGUUAGUUCCAUGGAUCUGUCCUAAUAUGGAAUUGUAACAAAACAAAAACAAACAAACUCACUUAUGUUUUUGGGGAUUUUUUUAACUUGUUGCCCAAACUUACAGUUUUUACUUUUAAGUCCUGGAUGUGCGUGUAGAUUGAUUAUAUCCAGCCUUUUGUUUUCUCCCAAUGAGAUUAACUUCCUCAUUACUCUUCUUGAAGUGCUUGGACAUGUAGGAGUAGCAUUGCUGAGGACAGGCUGCUGCUCUGUGCUCUGUUGCACCUCCAGUUUUUUUUUAUUAACCGUUUUAAUGUAGACAUUAAACAACCAAAGAUGCUUUUAUAAUUCAUGUUUGAUUAUCUUAAUUCAGUUAGUCUUUAGUUAUGUGUUCUAUUUAUUUUUAAUAAGGAACUGGUGGAAUGUGGAUUUUAUUUAUAGAUUGAGACAUACCAUAAACUCUUAACUAAAUGCAACAUAGUUAUAAAUGCAAAUCCUGGCCCUUCUCAUGGAAAAUAUGUGUGAGUAAGCCCAAAGACUUAACUAGUUGGCUUCUAUGUUGGAAAAAGCUAGGGGUAAGGAGACUUUAUAUUAAUGAUUAUAAGUAUUCAUGCCUCUGGAUGUAUUGUGCAUUCUAUUUUAUAUAUUUAAGAGGGGGGAGGAAGAGUAAAUUGAUGCAGUUUCAGUGAUCUCAAGGCUGGUGGAAUUGGACCAGUUUUCACCAAAUCUGAAUUUGUUCAGUCAUUUGUUUCUCCCCUUAUGCCAACAAUUGAUUAUAAAGUGUACAGAGGUCAGUCUCCUCUUCCUCAGAAGUGUCUUCCACUGUCUAAGCACAAAAAAGUUUUACCAGAAACUAUUCAGCAUGUCUUCACACAUGCUCUUUCAAAUGCUACCUCAUCAAAAUAAGUUUGUCAUAGCCACUGUAAAAGUUUGUUAAAAUGAAGUGUUGCUAAAGAGUGUGUACAGCUAUGAUCAGUAUAUUUUCUGUAAUCAGAGCUGAAUAGGUGCAAGAAUUUUGGAGAAAAUAGUGCAUUAAGUUAUUUAAAUUAUGUAUGUUUGGAUCACAUGAGAUCACUUAAGCAUUGCAUGACAGCAUACUAUUUUAUUUUGUUGUUGCAAGGGUAUAAAAGCUUGCAAUAUUCUCUUAAACUCUAAUAUUUAGAGUUUCAUACAAGCAGUCAGCUUUCAUUUAUGUCAGUGCAACCUGCAAGAACAACUGUACAUGCUGCAUACAGAGAGAUUGCCUUCGUUCUUCCACUUGAGAGAAUUUCAGUUGUGCAUGAUGUUUAAAAAGCAGUAUUAGGGCAAAUUUGAACAAAUUAGCAAGUUUUCUCUUAGUGAGAGUAUAGCAAGCAAAUUAAAAAUGCCCUGAGAGUAAUUUAUUGUUAGUAUAUUUUUUUCCCUUUGCAGGGCAGCCACCAGGUGUCAGCGUCUCAGCCGGCAGCUGCCUCCUGCUUCUGUGUAAAGUUAGCCAGGAGGGUUAAGCCCAAUUAUUACUUCCUGCCUACAUCUUUUUAGAAGGGCAUUUUGUACAUAACUUCUAUAGAAGUCAAUGGGGAUUGAAAAGUAGUGUUAUGCUCUUUUAAAUAGAUUUGAUUUAUCUACAUUUCUGUCCCAAAACAAACCACUUCUGUAUCAGUCUCAUAGACUUUGGCGAAUAUGUAACAUCUUGUAGCAUCAAGUGCAUUUAUCUAGCCAAAAGUGAUAGAAUGCUUGUUAUUCACAAUUGACACUUAAAAUGUAUAGCUAUAAUAUAACUGCACAGAAGUAGUUUAAUCUAUCAGUAUGUGGUGCAACUCAAGUUUCAUAGUGCUAGAGCUUGUGAAACAUUUGUUCAUGCUGAGAGUUCCUUCAAAUCAAUCUGAUGAACCUUUUACCUUUCAAAAUAAAUAGAGCAUAAAAAAGGCAUGAGAAUUGAGGGGUUUUUGCCUUGUUAAUCUAAGCAAGAGGGAAGGUGCUUAGCACAAUAAUCAGUUUCUAUAUAUAUACUUUUACUCACUUUUAAGCCUCCUUCCUGUGAGGAUCCUUCAUGGGAAACAACCUUCCAACCCAGGAGGAGUGGGUAAAAUAUCUGAAGAUAGGAGUUGCUUCUUAUCAGCCAGCUUCUGAGGUGUAGUCUUCUUUUUCUUUUGUUCUUCCUGGUAUUCUAUCCCUUUAAAACCACAUAUGCUUUUUGCAUUCCCAUACAUAAUAGCAUGGAGUAAUACCUUCACACUUGAUCAUUAAAAAUACAAAUAAAUUGCUUUGAAAUUAUGAGUUUCUUAUGUAUUUUAAUAAUUAUCUGCUAUCCACAGUUCCGCUUUACAGGGCACUCUGACUUGCUUUUUAAGUAAGCUGAUACAGUGGUAACACCUAGGCUGUUCAAUUUAUAAUCAUAAAUGGUACAGAUGUCUUCAAGUUGUUCGGUGCAUACAGUAUUACUUCACAGAUAUGCUGUAUGAAUUUUUAAAGUUGGUGCCAAGUUGUUUGGUUUUACAUCCUAGAGGGUUUGAAACUGAGCCAUAGGAUUUGUACUUGCCAAUUCUAAAUUUAAAUGUAAUUUAUCAUGUGUGUCAUGCCAAGGAGAGCAAACCUGCAGGCAUCUGCUCAUUCAAUGCACCUGGGAGAUUUGCUGCUGAGUAAGCUGUACGUGUGUAAAUUUUGUGGCAAUGGAAAAAGGAAUAAAUGGACUGUCAACAUAAAUGAUUGAA